rnacentral:rRNA from 1 species
GUGAGGAAUAUUGGUCAAUGGGCGCAAGCCUGAACCAGCCAUGCCGCGUGCAGGAAGACGGUCCUAUGGAUUGUAAACUGCUUUUAUUUGGAAAUAAACUCCGGUACGUGUACCGGCCUGAAGGUACCAAAUGAAUAAGCACCGGCUAACUCCGUGCCAGCAGCCGCGGUAAUCCGGAGGGUGCAAGCGUUAUCCGGAAUCAUUGGGUUUAAAGGGUCCGCAGGCGGUCUUAUAAGUCAGUGGUGAAAGCCUACAGCUCAACUGUAGAACUGCCAUUGAUACUGUAGGACUUGAAUUCGAUCGAAGUGGGCGGAAUGUGACAUGUAGCGGUGAAAUGCUUAGAUAUGUCACAGAACACCGAUAGCGAAGGCAGCUCACUAGGUCUGGAUUGACGCUCAGGGACGAAAGCGUGGGGAGCAAACAGGAUUAGAAACCCGUGUAGUCC